UUACGGCCAUAUCACGUUGAAACAUUGGUUCUCGUCUGAUCGCCGAAGUUAAGCAACGUUGAAUCUGGUCAGUACUUAGAUGAACGACCUCUUGAGAAUAAU
rnacentral:rRNA from 1 species